rnacentral:rRNA from 1 species
GGGUUGUGAGGUUAAGCGACUAAGCGUACACGGUGGAUGCCCUGGCAGUCAGAGGCGAUGAAGGACGUGCUAAUCUGCGAUAAGCGUCGGUAAGGUGAUAUGAACCGUUAUAACCGGCGAUUUCCGAAUGGGGAAACCCAGUGUGAUUCGUCACACUAUCAUUAACUGAAUCCAUAGGUUAAUGAGGCGAACCGGGGGAACUGAAACAUCUAAGUACCCCGAGGAAAAGAAAUCAACCGAGAUUCCCCCAGUAGCGGCGAGCGAACGGGGAGCAGCCCAGAGCCUGAAUCAGUGUGUGUGUUAGUGGAAGCGUCUGGAAAGGCGCGCGAUACAGGGUGACAGCCCCGUACACAAAAAUGCACAUGUUGUGAGCUCGAUGAGUAGGGCGGGACACGUGGUAUCCUGUCUGAAUAUGGGGGGACCAUCCUCCAAGGCUAAAUACUCCUGACUGACCGAUAGUGAACCAGUACCGUGAGGGAAAGGCGAAAAGAACCCCGGCGAGGGGAGUGAAAAAGAACCUGAAACCGUGUACGUACAAGCAGUGGGAGCACGCUUAGGCGUGUGACUGCGUACCUUUUGUAUAAUGGGUCAGCGACUUAUAUUCUGUAGCAAGGUUAACCGAAUAGGGGAGCCGAAGGGAAACCGAGUCUUAACUGGGCGUUAAGUUGCAGGGUAUAGACCCGAAACCCGGUGAUCUAGCCAUGGGCAGGUUGAAGGUUGGGUAACACUAACUGGAGGACCGAACCGACUAAUGUUGAAAAAUUAGCGGAUGACUUGUGGCUGGGGGUGAAAGGCCAAUCAAACCGGGAGAUAGCUGGUUCUCCCCGAAAGCUAUUUAGGUAGCGCCUCGUGAAUUCAUCUCCGGGGGUAGAGCACUGUUUCGGCAAGGGGGUCAUCCCGACUUACCAACCCGAUGCAAACUGCGAAUACCGGAGAAUGUUAUCACGGGAGACACACGGCGGGUGCUAACGUCCGUCGUGAAGAGGGAAACAACCCAGACCGCCAGCUAAGGUCCCAAAGUCAUGGUUAAGUGGGAAACGAUGUGGGAAGGCCCAGACAGCCAGGAUGUUGGCUUAGAAGCAGCCAUCAUUUAAAGAAAGCGUAAUAGCUCACUGGUCGAGUCGGCCUGCGCGGAAGAUGUAACGGGGCUAAACCAUGCACCGAAGCUGCGGCAGCGACGCUUAUGCGUUGUUGGGUAGGGGAGCGUUCUGUAAGCCUGCGAAGGUGUGCUGUGAGGCAUGCUGGAGGUAUCAGAAGUGCGAAUGCUGACAUAAGUAACGAUAAAGCGGGUGAAAAGCCCGCUCGCCGGAAGACCAAGGGUUCCUGUCCAACGUUAAUCGGGGCAGGGUGAGUCGACCCCUAAGGCGAGGCCGAAAGGCGUAGUCGAUGGGAAACAGGUUAAUAUUCCUGUACUUGGUGUUACUGCGAAGGGGGGACGGAGAAGGCUAUGUUGGCCGGGCGACGGUUGUCCCGGUUUAAGCGUGUAGGCUGGUUUUCCAGGCAAAUCCGGAAAAUCAAGGCUGAGGCGUGAUGACGAGGCACUACGGUGCUGAAGCAACAAAUGCCCUGCUUCCAGGAAAAGCCUCUAAGCAUCAGGUAACAUCAAAUCGUACCCCAAACCGACACAGGUGGUCAGGUAGAGAAUACCAAGGCGCUUGAGAGAACUCGGGUGAAGGAACUAGGCAAAAUGGUGCCGUAACUUCGGGAGAAGGCACGCUGAUAUGUAGGUGAAGUCCCUCGCGGAUGGAGCUGAAAUCAGUCGAAGAUACCAGCUGGCUGCAACUGUUUAUUAAAAACACAGCACUGUGCAAACACGAAAGUGGACGUAUACGGUGUGACGCCUGCCCGGUGCCGGAAGGUUAAUUGAUGGGGUCAGCGCAAGCGAAGCUCUUGAUCGAAGCCCCGGUAAACGGCGGCCGUAACUAUAACGGUCCUAAGGUAGCGAAAUUCCUUGUCGGGUAAGUUCCGACCUGCACGAAUGGCGUAAUGAUGGCCAGGCUGUCUCCACCCGAGACUCAGUGAAAUUGAACUCGCUGUGAAGAUGCAGUGUACCCGCGGCAAGACGGAAAGACCCCGUGAACCUUUACUAUAGCUUGACACUGAACAUUGAGCCUUGAUGUGUAGGAUAGGUGGGAGGCUUGGAAGUGUGGACGCCAGUCUGCAUGGAGCCGACCUUGAAAUACCACCCUUUAAUGUUUGAUGUUCUAACGUUGACCCGUAAUCCGGGUUGCGGACAGUGUCUGGUGGGUAGUUUGACUGGGGCGGUCUCCUCCUAAAGAGUAACGGAGGAGCACGAAGGUUGGCUAAUCCUGGUCGGACAUCAGGAGGUUAGUGCAAUGGCAUAAGCCAGCUUGACUGCGAGCGUGACGGCGCGAGCAGGUGCGAAAGCAGGUCAUAGUGAUCCGGUGGUUCUGAAUGGAAGGGCCAUCGCUCAACGGAUAAAAGGUACUCCGGGGAUAACAGGCUGAUACCGCCCAAGAGUUCAUAUCGACGGCGGUGUUUGGCACCUCGAUGUCGGCUCAUCACAUCCUGGGGCUGAAGUAGGUCCCAAGGGUAUGGCUGUUCGCCAUUUAAAGUGGUACGCGAGCUGGGUUUAGAACGUCGUGAGACAGUUCGGUCCCUAUCUGCCGUGGGCGCUGGAGAACUGAGGGGGGCUGCUCCUAGUACGAGAGGACCGGAGUGGACGCAUCACUGGUGUUCGGGUUGUCAUGCCAAUGGCACUGCCCGGUAGCUAAAUGCGGAAGAGAUAAGUGCUGAAAGCAUCUAAGCACGAAACUUGCCCCGAGAUGAGUUCUCCCUGACUCCUUGAGAGUCCUGAAGGAACGUUGAAGACGACGACGUUGAUAGGCCGGGUGUGUAAGCGCAGCGAUGCGUUGAGCUAACCGGUACUAAUGAACCGUGAGGCUUAACCUUACAACGCCGAAGCUGUU